rnacentral:rRNA from 1 species
UAGGGAAUUUUUGGCAAUGGAGGGAAGUCCGACCGAGCAACGCCGCGCGUGUGAAGUAGGUUUUUGGAGUGUUAAGCUCUGUUUUGAGAGAAGAACGUUGGUAGGAGUGGAAAAUCUACCAAGUGACGGUAACUAACCAGAAAGGGACGGCUAACUACGUGCCAGCAGCCGCGGUAAUACGUAGGUCCCGAGCGUUGUCCGGAUUUAUUGGGCGUAAAGCGAGCGCAGGCGGUUCUUUAAGUCUGAAGUUAAAGGCAGUGGCUUAACCAUUAUACGCUUUGGAAACUGGAGGACUUGGGUGCAGAAGGGGAGAGUGGAUUUCCAUGUGUAGCGGUAAAAUGCGUAGAUAUAUGGAGGAACCCCGGUGGCAAAAGCGGCUCUCUGGUCUGUAACUGACGCUGAGGCUCGAAGGCGUGGGGAGAAAACGGG